AUUGAACGCUGGCGGCAGGCCUAACACAUGCAAGUCGAACGAGUGGCGGACGGGUGAGUAAUGUCUGGGCAACUGCCUGAUGUAGGGGGAAAACUACUGGAAAAGGUAGCUAAUACCGCAUACCAUCGGAUGUGCCCAGAUGGGAUUAGCUAGUGGGUGGGGUAUCGGCUCACCUAGGCGACGAUCCCUAGCUGGUCUGAGAGGAUGACCAGCCACACUGGAACUGAGACACGGCCCAGACUCCUACGGGAGGCAGCAGUGGGGAAUAUUGUGCAAUGGGCGCAAGCCUGACGCAGCCAUGCCGCGUGUAUGAAGAAGGCCUUCGGGUUGUAAAGUACUGUCAGCGAGGAGGCGUUACUCAAAGAAGAAGCACCGGCUAACUCCGUGCCAGCAGCCGCGGUAAUAC
rnacentral:rRNA from 1 species